AGAACGAACGCUGGCGGCAGGCCUAACACAUGCAAGUCGAACGCCCUAGCAAUAGGGAGUGGCAGACGGGUGAGUAACGCGUGGGAACAUGCCUUUCGGUUCGGAACAACUCGGGGAAACUUGAGCUAAUACCGGAUACGCCCUUUUUGGGGAAAGAUUUAUCGCCGGAAGAUUGGCCCGCGUCUGAUUAGCUAGUUGGCGGGGUAACGGCCCACCAAGGCGACGAUCAGUAGCUGGUCUGAGAGGAUGAUCAGCCACAUUGGGACUGAGACACGGCCCAAACUCCUACGGGAGGCAGCAGUGGGGAAUAUUGGACAAUGGGCGCAAGCCUGAUCCAGCCAUGCCGCGUGAGUGAUGACGGCCUUAGGGUUGUAAAGCUCUUUUGCCUGGGAAGAUAAUGACGGUACCAGGAGAAUAAGCCCGGACUAACUUCGCGCCAGCAGCCGC
rnacentral:rRNA from 1 species